ensembl:lncRNA
UGGCUGUGUGUUGAGCUAUUUUGAGGGGACAGCAAAUGUACACUGUUAUACAAGCUGUACACUCACUACUUUACAUUGUAGCAAAGUGUCAUUUCUUCAGUGUUGUCACAUGAAAAGUUAUACUCAAAUAUUUACAAAAAUGUGAGGGGUGUACUCACUUUUGUGAUAUACUGUAUCUACUCUACGAACAAGCAUCAGACAGGGUGAUUGGAGCACAUGUUACACUGCACACCGACGUGUUCAAGAAGGACUCUCUAUUGCCGGACAGAUAGUUCUACGAGGCAACCACAUUACUAUGCCACGGGCAGCUCAGAAACAGACUUUGAUGUUCGCCCACGAAGGGCAUCAAGGGAUAGUAAAAAUAAAACAGACUGCGCACAAAAGUGUGGUGGCCAAACAUUGAUAAAGAGGUUGAACUGCUUGUGAAGUCCUGUGCAGCAUGUCAAGUCAAUGGCACACCACCAGCCAGGAGCUGCACCACAAGAGAACACCAUUGGGCUUGCUGAUGCUGAAAGGAAGGAGACGGGCUGACAGAACGCAGACAGAUCUAGGAGAGCAACUGAAAGCACAAUCCAACAAGGUUUGACCUCUCCUUUGACCCCCAGUACAGCACUGAAUCCUCGGGUUUGACAGUUAGUUUUACUUUGACCACCGACACUCUGAGUAAAGGUAAGUAUGGCCACUAGAUUUUAGUUUAGUGUGUAAUAAGUUGUAAUAAGUGUUGUGUGUUAGAUGUUAAUAAAGAGUAUCUCUUGCAUGUGUACAUGAGCUCAAAGCUCCACAGACAUUGUUGUGAAUUCACACAGUCAAGAAAGCAUUCCAGGUAUGUGUCCUUCUCUAGCUGCCUGCCUGUCUAUUUUACACAACUAAGACAACUGAGACAUGCAACCUCACAAUUUAAUGACACAUUUUCUGAGAUCAAAUCUUGAGAUGUGUAUUGACCCUGGGAAUACAAGCUAAUGACCUUCCCAAUGUCACCAAACAACCGUGCAAGUAUGGCAGGCAGCAGUGGGUGUGGCUUCUGGGGUAGGUGUUCAAAUACUCUUUCCUAUUGUACAUUCAUUCAAGGUUUUAACAAUGAUACGUCACAUUAUUAAAUUGUGAACAUGCAAUCUUUCCACUGAAUCAGUUGUGUUCUACUGACUCAGAAAUAAUGAAUACCUUUCUUCUUGUGUAAUCAGAUACAGAAUGAACUUUUAUUACUUUCCAGCAGGUUUAAAUGUUACUUCUCUUUGACCCCUGACAGCCCAGUGAGACCAACUACUAACUACUGCUUAGUUUACUAAUUAAUUUUAUUUCACUCUAAUUCACUAAAGCUCCAACUGGUUUACUCAUAAACCUAUUCAUAGCUGUUUGUACUUUCACUCUAAAUUGUUAUACUUUUCUUAGAUAUGAAACAAAUGUAAAUGUUUAAUCUCAUGUUUCUUCUCCUACGUCAGGUGUGUUGGUCAUCUUUAGUUAGCAAAACUGAAACAAGUAGACUAACUUUAUCUUACCCAGGUUUUGUAUAAACAGUAUAUUUAUUAAUUACAAAUGUGCACACAGGUCAAAGCUCCACAGAGUGUUGUGAAUACAAUUUUUUUUGUCAAAAAAUAGUUCUGUGUAGGUAUCCUUAUUUAGUAAUCCCACGGCAAAAAUACACUUGCCUUUUCCUACUGCACUAACUUUGCUGAUAACUACCUUGUUGAGGGAAAAUCUAGUUGCUACGAUUGUGAUAUGUUGUCUCACCUAUCUUAAGUUGAAAUAACGGAUGUAAGUCACUCUGGAUAAGAGCCUCUGCUAAAUUACUUAAAUGUCAAAUGUUUAACUGACUAACUGUCUUUUCCCACACAUGAAAACAGAAACAUUUUCUCAGACUAAUAAUAAUGUGGUAUUCUGACACCUGUUUAACGUUUAAGUAUUUACUUUAGGAUAAAAGGCUGAUGACCUCACCUGUUGUCAUCAUGUCACCAAACAGCGCUCCAAAUAUGGCAGGCAGCAGUGUGUAUGGCUUCUGGAGUUGCCGUGUUCCUGAUGGGACUGACAGCUGUCUGUCUCUGCAGAGGACCGGUGAUUUGUUGAUGGGAGCUGUGAGCAGUACAGGCAUGUUUGAAUUAAGGGAUGCUGGAAUCUAUUCUCUCAUCACCUAUGUACCGUCCAAAUUACUGCCCUCGUGAGAAUUGAAGAGAAUUGAAAGUAAUCUGAAAAAGACAAUUCUGAUACGUACCACAUAUACAGCUCAAUCCCUGACAGACCAGCAACCUCAGCCCAGCAUGAUGGGUUUUACAGUCUGCAGACACACUGACACUACACCUCUGGCUUUCUGUAGCUGAAUCUUACAGAAACACUCUUGCUUUCAGGAUGUCCUUUAUUUAUCAAACAUCAUGUCACUGUAAAUAAGUAUCUACUAUGUCUACUGCUGUACCGUUUCUAAUCAUAAGCGACAAUAGAGGCCACCAUCCAAUGGCAAAAUGUGUAGAACUGCAGGAAAUUAGCUUUAAAACAAGUAGACUUGUUUUAAACGAGUAGACUUGCAGUACUCUCCCCGCCAUGAGGUGGGCCACUAAAAUGUUUUGCCUGCGAGGUGGGCAAAUCUCGCAUAGGGCCCCCAAAAUGCAAGAAACUGCCCUUAUCUACUGUAUCUCAUAUGUACACCUAGUUUCUGUUACAUGCCUAUCCAUAAUGAUGGUUACUCUGUUAGUGUUUUUAUUCAUUGGUUUUGGAGGGGUCCGGGGCAUACUCCCCUUUAAACAUUUUUGUUAUUCCCCCCUCCGGUAAAUGCUAAAUAUAUACUGUAUUUAUAUAUAUUCUGUCAUGUGUUUUAUACUGUUGGAUAGAAUGAAUUAAUACAAAUGUAUUUGAAAUCCAAAUAGAUAGAAAUAUAAUAUUUUAGUUUUAAU